UAAUUAAUUAAUUAAUCAGUUAUUUUUACCCCCUUCUUUUUUAUUUUUCUUUUUCACAUCUUUUUUUAUAUAAAGUUUAAGUAAACUUGUUCCUUAAGGCUGCUAAUGUACUUAAAACAAAAAAAAAUAACUUAAAUGAACCCAAUUUUUGUUUGCCAGUAAAAUUUUUUUAAUUUAUUUAAAUCCGCUUUGAAAUUUUUACCCGAUACGCAUCACAUAAAUGUUAUUAUUUAAACAAAAAAUGACUUAAAAUACUUCUUGUUCAUCUUCGUAUAGAUAAAGAUAUAGAGAGACUUAAAAAAAAAAACUUCUUGUAUUAUAACGGAUAUUGAUGACGAUUAUGAUGAUGAUGAUAUUAAUUUUAAACAAAUUUUAAAAGCGGUUAUUAUUUAUCUGAAAUAUUUCGCCCCCUCAUCCUCCGUAAAAACGUAUAAAUGAUGAAUGAAUAAAAAUAAAUAAUAAAAAAAAAUUAUGAUGAUGUGGUGAGACUGCUCGAAACUGGAUAUUAUAUGUAGCGUUAUUUUCCCUGGAUUUAUAGUUUUUAAUUUUUUUCUUAAACGAAUAAAUGAAUCCUCUUUGAAUGAUGACGAAGAGGGUUGUUUGUUUAAUCGGUGGUUUUAUCCAGUUUUUUGCCGUCCGAUUCGAUGAAUCUAAUGAGAUAAAUUGUAUAAAUUACUGUAAAAUAUAAGCAAGUGGAUAUGUAAAGAGUUGUUUUAUUUAUUUCAAUUUGACAUCUUCAAGUCAAAAUUUUCAAUCCCAAUAAAUUCCAAAUUUAUCAUAAAAUGUAACUUAUUAUAAUCAAUUUUCGCGAAAUAGGAAUGAUCCGAAGUAUAAGCGCAACAACAACAAUCUUCAUUCGAGACAGGUUUAAUAAUGGGGGAAGAACAUCUAAAACAUACAAAAAAUUAAGAAAUUUUCGAAAUUAUGGCAAACCAGUGUGUCAAAGAAGCAGGCAAUGUCCGCCUUUACCCCCAAAGAAAUUACCCAUUUUUAAGAUAGCACUUGGAGUGUUACUCUUGGCGUUUGGGGCCGUAAUCGGGUACGCAAAAUACGACGAUGACUUUCGUUGUGAUCUCACCGAACGCUUUCCGGUAACCGAUGAUAUUAUUAGAUUUGUUUUUCGAGAAGAUUGUUAAACUAAAUCCGUUCUUUUAAUUAUUUUAACAUCUUAUAUAAAGUAAUAUUCAUCAAAA